GAUGAAGAACGCAGUGAAAUGCGAUAAGUAGUGUGAAUUGCAGAAUUCAGUGAAUCAUCGAAUCUUUGAACGCACAUUGCGCCCUUUGGUAUUCCAAAGGGCAUGCCUGUUCGAGCGUCAUUUGUACCCUCAAGCUUUGCUUGGUGUUGGGCGUCUUGUCUCUAGCUUUGCUGGAGACUCGCCUUAAAGUAAUUGGCAGCCGGCCUACUGGUUUCGGAGCGCAGCACAAGUCGCACUCUCUAUCAGCAAAGGUCUAGCAUCCAUUAAGCCUUUUUUUCAACUUUUGACCUCUGAUCAGGUAGGGAUACCCGCUGAACUUAAGCAUAUCAAUAAGCGGAGGA
rnacentral:misc_RNA from 1 species